AGCUAGAAGAGCGUGAUAUAUGUUUUAUGUUAUAUUUACUCUCUGCAAUAAUAAUCUCAAUAAUAGUUAGAGUUGUAAUUCGAUAAUAUGUCGUCGUCUUUCUGUACAACAAAGUACGAUGUAUUCAUUAGCUUCAGACGUGAGGACACCCGCAAAACUUUCACUGUCUAUCUGUUUAACCUUCUGGCAAACAAGACAAUCCGAGCAUACAUGGAUUGUCUUCUCCGGAGAGGAGAUGAAGUCUGGCCAGCACUCGAGAAAGCGAUCGAGAGCUCGCUAAUAUCGAUCGUGGUUUUCUCAGAAAAUUACGCGCUUGGAAGAGCUCGUCAAGAUUCUUCAAUGGAGGGAAUAUCACGGUCAGGUUGUUAUACCCGUUUUUUAUAGAACAGAUCCGUCAGAUAUACAGAACCAAAAUGGGAGUUUUGAGAAGGCGUUUGCAAAAUACAAAAGAGAUCUUGCAGAGAGUGAAUCCAACAGAGACAAGAUAAGCAACUGGAGAGACGCUCUCAAGAAAUCAGCUAAUAUUUCUGGAUAGCACUCCACAAACUAUGCCCCCAGCGUUGCAUCUCGAGCAUGCGGCGACAGCAGGGCAUGCCACUGGAUGAGAGAUACGUUUCGUACCUACAGAUGGCCGGAUUACACUAUCUUGCUAGACUGAACGAUAGAUGGUUCUGAUUAGAUGAGCCCCUUGUUAGUGCAUUCGUCGAGCGGUGGCAUCCGGAGACGCACAACUUCUACAUGCCGUUCGGAGAGUGCACGAUCACACUUCAGGAUGUGGCAUACCAGUUGGGAUUGUCAGUGGACGGACGCUAUGUCACUGGUUGCCUUACAGAUUUUCAUGUAUACAUCGAGGGUGGCCGUCCUGCCUGGGUGUGGUUCUAGGAGUUGCUUGGAGUGAUUCCUCCUCCGAGCCAAGUUCAAAAGUUCGCUGUAAACUGCACUUGGUUCCAGGAGACUUUUGGGGAGUGCCCCGUGGGAGCCGAUGAGGAGACUGUGCGGCGCUUUGCUCGUGCAUAUAUCAUGAUAUUGUUGGGUACUCAGCUGUUUGUCGACAAGUCCGGCAACCGCAUUCACAUCAGAUGGCUUCCAUACGUUGCUAGGCUUGAGGAGAUGGGUACCUACAGCUGGGGUCUGCAGCACUAGCAUAGUUGUACCGGUGCAUGUGCUGAGUGGCGAACAGACAUGUGGUAAAGUUAGCGGGCUCACUUCAGUUACUUCAGUCCUGGAUCUUCUGGCGCUUUUCUAGGUUUAGGCCGGCUGGGUAUGAUACGUGCAGCUGGCCCUUGGCCUCGAGGUGGUCAGGUUACAACCCUCCCGGUGGCGAGAAGGGACCUAGAGUGCAGAACUGGAGACUAAGGCUAGACAUGUUAUAGGCCACCAAUCACUCCCGAGGUAUUGCAGGUUGUGCAUCCGGAGGUGUUGGAGCCUCGGCAUACGGCGAUGUGGCGAUCUGUGACAUCACUGAUAUACUUUGCCGUGAUAGAGUGACAUCAGAUAGAUAUGGUUUUACCGCAGUUCGGCGGAGUCCAACCCCGUCCACAUCCCGCCUUAAACAUCGACUUUCUAAUGUCGAAGGACGGGAGAGGGGGUGAUCGUUGGUUUCCGUCGGCUCUUCAGAUAUGGCAUCUUCAUUGGGAGAGCCGUGCCGACCACGUUCUUCGGUUUGAUGUUGUUGCAGACCCUGGACCAUCACAUGAUUACCUGCAGUGGUGGAGUCGGCAUGGAAAGAGGUUUCUGUCACCAGAGAUGUAUUUGGGUGAUCCGAGAGCCGUUCCUAUUCCUGUGGAGACGUCGCAGAGGGGUCCUGGGCGAGUUCCCGACAUGUAUCGUGCUGACGACGUCCCGGAUAGGCGUCGGGUCGAGAGGAGAGCUCGUGUGGGAACACGUCAGAGCCAGCGCGAGUGGAGGUGGCUGGAUCAGGCUAUGGAGGAGGGUGAUGGGGACGGCCACCCUGGAGGACGACGACGAGGCCCGGAGGCAGACAGAGAGGGCGUGCUGCGGCCGACGAUCACGGACAUCAUGGUCACGACGACAACGACGAUCUGGUAGGGAUGCUGGAGGGCAUGCUGCAGUAGGGGGUGUUAGUCCCCAUCAUGUAGGGCAUGGAGGUGAGUGGUACGGCUCCGAUAUGGGUGACGGCACAGAUCAGGGUGACGGUGGAGUUGCUCAGGCCCACUAGGCGAUUACUUCGUUGGUGUCCCUGCCGAUGAUUAGACACUUCAGGAGAGUACGCCUUGGGUUAGCCCGGGUUCCAUGUUUUCAGACUUCCUGGCAGCUGACGGGCUUGAUGCGGCAUACAGCGGUUCACACUUUCUAGAUGAGCUUACUGCCAUCAUGCAGGAGGAUGAUGCGGCCCGUCGGCGUGGUCAGAGUUCCGGCACGCCUGCACCUUUAGCUGUCGAUCUUAACGAGCCUCCUACGAUGCCAGCUGCUGACCCUUUUACAUUGGGUGGUACUCCUCCUUUCGCCUAUACUGCUGCGUCACAUUCAGGUGCCAGGCCGUCUGGGGCCUCCGUCCAGCCUAGGCCACAUGCACAGCCUGCCCUGGACGACGAGGAUGAUGAGAUUGAGGACGAGGAGCCGCUUAUCCGGAGUGGUCAGAGGACACGGGUACCCCGUUGUUGCUUCACCGGUUCACAUCUUUUUAGAUGAUUGUUGUAUCUUGUAUGGCUUUUUUUCAUGUUCAUUGUUGUAUUUUAGCGAACUUUGUUAUUGUACUUUGACUAUUUAUGUUUCGGUUCGUUAGAACUUUAUCAUGAUGUUGUACUUUGAAAACGGCCUUUCAAUGCUACUUUCAGUAACUA